rnacentral:RNase_P_RNA from 1 species
GCAGGCUAUGCGGUAGCGUGAACGCCUUUUAUAUGUUCAUGAGGAAAGUCCGAGCAUCACAGAGCAGGAUAGCUGUUAACAACAGCCGAGGGCGACCUUAGGGCAAGUGCAACAGAAAUAAACCGCUGUCUUCCAUGGCAGAAUGGGUGGAAAGGUGAGGUAAAAGCUUACCAGAAUACAGGAAACUGUAUUGCUAUGUAAACCCUAUCCGAUGCAACGUCUAUUGGUGCGAUAUUGUCAACAUCUGCUCGGUGGACAAUACGCAAUGACGGCUUGAACCGCUUGGCGACAAACGGUGUAGAUAAAUUACCGCACUCGACAGAACUCGGCUUAUCGGCCUGGUC